rnacentral:rRNA from 1 species
GAUCCUGGCUCAGGAUGAACGCUAGCUACAGGCUUAACACAUGCAAGUCGAGGGGCAGCAUCAUCAAAGCUUGCUUUGAUGGAUGGCGACCGGCGCACGGGUGAGUAACACGUAUCCAACCUGCCGACAACACUGGGAUAGCCUUUCGAAAGAAAGAUUAAUACCGAUGCGAUAAUUUUACCCGUUCCAUAGGAGUAAUUAAUUUAAAGUAAAUUUACGGUUUGGUUCGAUAGGGUAGUGCGUUCCUACUAGUACG